rnacentral:rRNA from 1 species
UGGGGAAUAUUGCGCAAUGGGGGAAACCCUGACGCAGCGACGCCGUGUGAGGGAAGAAGGCUUUCGGGUCGUAAACCUCUGUCGGGAGGGAAGAACCGAUUGGAGUCGAACAGGCUCCUUUCCUGACGGUACCUCCAAAGGAAGCACCGGCUAACUCCGUGCCAGCAGCCGCGGUAACACGGAGGGUGCAAGCGUUAAUCGGAAUCACUGGGCGUAAAGCGCACGUAGGCGGUCCUGUAAGUCAGACGUGAAAGCCCUCGGCUCAACCGGGGAACUGCGUUUGAUACUGCUUGACUUGAGUAUCGGAGAGGGUGGCGGAAUUCCAGGUGUAGGAGUGAAAUCCGUAGAUAUCUGGAGGAACACCGGCGGCGAAGGCGGCCACCUGGACGAAUACUGACGCUGAGGUGCGAAAGCGUGGGGAGCAAACAGG